rnacentral:rRNA from 1 species
CAGUCGCCGCGGUAAUACGUAGGUGGCAAGCGUUGUCCGGAAUUAUUGGGCGUAAAGGGCUCGCAGGCGGUUUCUUAAGACUGAUGUGAAAGCCCCCGGCUCAACCGGGGAGGGUCAUUGGAAACUGGGAAACUUGAGUGCAGAAGAGGAGAGUGGAAUUCCACGUGUAGCGGUGAAAUGCGUAGAGAUGUGGAGGAACACCAGUGGCGAAGGCGACUCUCUGGUCUGUAACUGACGCUGAGGAGCGAAAGCGUGGGGAGCGAACAGGAUUAGAUACCCCAGUAGUCCCUGUCUCUUAUAC